rnacentral:rRNA from 1 species
GAUGAACGCUGGCGGCGUGCCUAAUACAUGCAAGUCGAGCGAACAGACGAGGAGCUUGCUCCUCUGACGUUAGCGGCGGACGGGUGAGUAACACGUGGAUCCCCUACCUAUAAGACUGGGAUAACUUCGGGAAACCGGAGCUAAUACCGGAUAAUCUCUUGCACCGCAUGGUUCAAUAGUGAAUGACGGCUUUUCUGUCACUUCUAGCUGCUUCCGCGCCGCAUUAGCUAGUUGGUAAGGUAACGGCUUACCACGGCGACGAUGCGUAGCCGACCUGCGAGGGGGAUCGGCCACACUGGAACUGAGACACGGUCCAGACGCCUACGGGAGGCAGCAGUAGGGAAUCUGCCGCAAUGGGCGGAAGCCUGACGGAGCAACGCCGCGUGAGUGAUGAAGGUCUUCGGAUCGUAAAACUCUGUUAUUAGGUAAGAACAAAUGUGUAAGUAACUAUGCACGUCGUGACGGUACCUAAUCAGAAAGCCACGGCUAACUACGUG